rnacentral:snoRNA from 1 species
AUGCAAUGAUGUGAGAAUUUCUUCACCUGAAAUUGCUGGUAAGGGUAAAGUCUGAGCUUUUUAACACUGAGUCACA